AAGCGUUCAUGACCAGACUUGGGCAGGUUGAUCAUCCGUGGUUCUCCGCGGUGCACUCUGCCUGCCCAGGCCAGCAUCAGUUCGCCCCGGGGGAUAAAGGUUUCGGGAAUGUGGCUCCUCCGGGAGUGUUAUAGCCCGUUGCGUAAUACCCUGGGGCGGACUG
rnacentral:rRNA from 1 species